GGGGCUAGCGUUGCUCGGAAUCACUGGGCGUAAAGCGCACGUAGGCGGAUUGCUAAGUCAGGGGUGAAAUCCUGGAGCUCAACUCCAGAACUGCCUUUGAUACUGGCGAUCUCGAGUCCGGGAGAGGUGAGUGGAACUGCGAGUGUAGAGGUGAAAUUCGUAGAUAUUCGCAAGAACACCAGUGGCGAAGGCGGCUCACUGGCCCGGUACUGACGCUGAGGUGCGAAAGCGUGGGGAGCAAACAGG
rnacentral:rRNA from 1 species